rnacentral:rRNA from 1 species
UGCAUGUCUAAGUACAGACCGCAAAAUAUAGAGGUGAAACCGCGAAUGGCUCAUUAAAUCAGCGAUGGUUCGAUGGAGAUCGAGGAGAGAGAGAGGUCGCCCGCCACGGGCGUCCGUAAUCCAAUUGUAAUUGGAUAACCGUGGCAAUUCUAGAGCUAAUACAUGCAACUCAUGCUCGACACGCCCCAGCUUCGUGCACGGGGUAGAGCGCUUUUAUUAGACCGCCGUCGGGUCGGAGYAAUCCGGCCCGCUCUCGGUGGUGAAUCUGGAUAAACGAUCCGUAGAGGUGAGGCCGAUCGAGCCGGCCGCGGCGCACGUCGUCGCGGUCCGGCCGACGGGGCCUUCAAGUGUCUGCCUUAUCAACUUUAGACGGCAAGACAUUUGCCUACCGUGGUGGUCACGGGUGACGGGGAAUCAGGGUUCGAUUCCGGAGAGGGAGCCUGAGAAACGGCUACCACAUCCAAGGAAGGCAGCAGGCUCGCAAAUUACCCAAUUGUGGAACGCAGAGGUAGUGACGAAAAAUGACGAUCCGGGACUCGGUCGAGCUUCCCGGGAUCGGAUUGAGCGCAGCUCAAACAAAUGUGGCGAGUGUCCACCGGAGAGCAAGUCUGGUGCCAGCAGUCGCGGUAAUUCCAGCUCCGGCAGCAUAUGCUAAAGUUGCUGCGGUUAAAAAGCUCGUGGUUGGAUCUCAGGCUGUGGCCGUCGAGACCCGCUCAGGGGCGGGCCUGCGGCGUGCCGGUCAGAAGGGCCGGCGGCUCGCGGACGAUCUUUACCGGUCGUCCGUCGGUGCCGUCGGCAGGUUUACCUUGAACAAAGGGGAGUGCUCAAGGCAGGGCGUUAUCGGCCCGAACGUUCCGUGCAUGGAAUAAUGGAAGAAGGCCCCGGCUCGUUAGGAGGAUCGGUGGCGGCGGAAAGUCGGCGUGCGUCCGCUUCGUGCGGGCGCCGUUACGGCGUGUACGUCGCGGCGAGACUCCGCGAGGACUGGACGGGGCAAUGAUUAAGGGGGACGGCCCGGGGACGAUCGUACCGCUCGGCUAGAGGUGAAAUUCUUGGACCCGAGCGAGACGUCCGGCAGCGAAAGCGUUCGUCAAGAGCGUUUCCGUUAAUCUAGAACGAAAGUCAGAGGUUCGAAGGCGAUCAGAUACCGCCCUAGUUCUGACCGUAAACGAUGCCAACCAGCGAUCUCGAUGCGAGCUUAUUGAUAACGCCGCUCGAGGAAGCUUUGCCCGGGAAACCAGAGUGUCUGGGUUCCGGGGGAAGUAUGGUUGCAAAACUGAAACUUAAAGGAAUUGACGGAAGGGCACCACCAGGAGUGGAGCCUGCGGCUUAAUUUGACUCAACACGGGAAAGCCUACCCGGCCCGGACACUGGAACGAUUGACAGAAUGACGGCUCUUUCUUGAUUCUGUGGGUGGUGGUGCAUGGCCGUUCUUAGUUCGUGGAGUGAUUUGUCUGGUUGAUUCCGAUAACGAACGAGACUCUAGCCUGCUAACUAGCCGUCGUCGCAGCGGAGGGGCACGAGUUGCUCCCUCCCGACGACGCGAUCUCUUCUUAGAGGGACUGGCCAAGCUUGAAUAAGAAUUGGCACGAGGUGAGAGCGAUAACAGGUCUGUGAUGCCCUCAGAUGUCCGGGGCCGCACGCGCGCUACACUGACGCUCGCAGUGUGCGCACUCUAGAUUCCUGGCCCGGCGGGGCCGGGGAACCCCAUCAACGAGAAGAUCUCGUCGUGAUGGGGACAGGGAAUUGGAAUUAUCUCCCUCGAACGAGGAAUUCCUGGUAGGGGCGAGUCAUCAGCUCGCCUCGAAUACGUCCCUGCCCUUUGUACACACCGCCCGUCGCUACUACCGAUAGAACGGUUCGGUGAGGUCCUCGGACCGGUGUCGGUAGCGUGACCAGGACUUCGGUCCACACGAUGCCUUCUUGCCGGAAAGUCGAUCGAACCGUCUCGUUUAGAGGAAGUAAAAGUCGUAACAAGGUUUCC